AUCUGACCUCAGAUCAGCG
rnacentral:rRNA from 1 species